AGGAUUAAAUGGCAAAAAAUGUACCUCAGUCACCCCUGCUCUUGCCUACAUCAACGAAACCAUGACUCUAUUAGGAUUACCAAGCAUUCCCACAAUACAAGCAUCAAUUGCAUCUUGAUUUUCAACUCUUGAAGCCCUUGCACCCAUUAAAACUACCGUAUCUUUAUCCAUAUCCUUUACGAAAACCUCAAUAAGAGUUUUAUCGACUGUGAGCUUGUUGAGUGUAAGUGUUCCAGUUUUGUCACUACACAAAAUAUCCAUUCCCGCCAUUUCUUCAAUGGCUGUCAUUCUUUUCGUGAUAGCUCCUUGUUGUGAUAGCUUGUGGGACCCGAUAGCCAUUGUCACUGACAACACUGUCGGCAUUGCGAUUGGGAUUCCACCAAUCAGUAGAACCAAUAGAUUGUCAAUUCCAUUCCUGUAGGUUCGUUUCUGAAUUGGGUACAUUAUCACUAUUUCUAUCACCAGUCCAACCGCAAUCGAGCAUAUACAAAAGUUUCCAAUCGCUGUCAACACCUAACCAAAAAAAAAAUCAUCACAAUUGUUGUAGAUAUAACACAUUUUUUUGGAGAUCAGUGUAUGUGAUUGUAACAAUUUCUCAUAUAGUGAAUUUUUCUUGAGGUGCAAUAAAUUUUUGUCUCGACUUCAGAAGAACCUUAAUCAUUAUUUUCAUUUUCUUUGUUUUUUUGCUCUUUUUAAACUAUAUUAUGUUUUUCAUCUACUGGUUUUGGAGUUUCCACAUAUAUUCUUGUGUCCAGUUUUCUCUAUUAUCUUUCACCGGGCUGGUUGUUGCCCGAUGAGUAUCUUUAAACUAUUAUACCUUUUGGAAAUGGCCAACUUGAUUUGUGCUAUCGACUAAGUGAGCAGCCUUGCCAAAGAACGUGUGUACCCCAGUAGCAAUCACAACCGCUUCAAUCUCACCCUGUUUACACGUGGAACCGGAAAACACACUGUCUCCAGGCUUCUUAGUAACCGGCAACGACUCACCAGUCAACGCCGCCUGGUCAAUUUUUAACGGGUCUCCUUCUAGAAGACGUGCAUCAGCCGGAACAAUAUCUCCGAGCUUGAUGCUAAUAAUGUCUCCAGGGACAAGAUCCGCAGCUUCCUCUUCUGACCAUUUUCCAUCGCGUAAAAGUUUCGUUUUUGGAGCAAGACCCGCCAUUAACGCCGCUGCUGCAUUGCCUGCGUUGUUUUCUUCUAUGAAACUUAUGGUCGAGUUUAUAAUUAGCAGUGUUGUGAUUCCAACAAAAUCUUGCCAGUCUGGUGGCUUCCCCUGCACGAUCGUUAUUUCACCAUCAACAUACAUACAGAUACAUAUACUGAUACCGAUACAUAUACAUAUACAUAUAAUACAUACCCCUCCAUUAGCCAAGACAAUUGCCAUGACAGCUGCAGCCUCCAUGACCCAUGAGAGAGGAUUCCACAUAAAUCCAAGGAACUUGAGGAGUUUGUUUUCCUGAAUUAAUGUUGUAAAUUAAAUAUUAUUCUUAAGAUAAUCUCCAAUUUUUAUCA